rnacentral:rRNA from 1 species
AACCCAAAGGUGUGACGCAUACCGAACUAAAGUAGGGAAAUGUGUGAGCCGGCUGCCGAGAAAAGCCGCUAUUGUUUGUACUGUACCCGUACCGUAAACCGACACAGGUGGAUGAGGAGAGAAUCCUAAGGCCGACGGAAGAAGCAUUGCUAAGGAACUCGGCAAAAUGACCCUGUAACUUCGGGAGAAAGGGUGCCUCGAAAGAGGCCGCAGAGAAUAGGCCCAAGCAACUGUUUAGCAAAAACACAGGUCUAUGCAAAACCGCAAGGUGAAGUAUAUGGGCUGACGCCUGCCCGGUGCUGGAAGGUUAAGGGGAGAUGUCAGGAGACGAAGCAUCGAACUUAAGCCCCAGUAAACGGCGGCCGUAACGAUAACGGUCCUAAGGUAGCGAAAUUCCUUGUCGGGUAAGUUCCGACCCGCACGAAAGGCGUAAUGAUUUGGGCGCUGUCUCGGCAAUGCAUCCGGUGAAAUUGAAGUGCCAGUGAAGAUGCUGGCUACCCGCGCCAGGACGGAAAGACCCCAUGGAGCUUUACUCCAGCUUGAUACUGGGAUUCGGUAUUGUAUGUACAGGAUAGGUGGGAGGCUGAGAAAUGGUGACGCCAGUCGCCAUGGAGCCGCUGUUGGGAUACCACCCUUGCAGUACUGGAUUUCUAACCAGCAGCCGUGAUCCGGCUGGGGGACAAUGUCAGGUGGGGAGUUUGACUGGGGCGGUCGCCUCCGAAAGGGUAUCGGAGGCGCUCAAAGGUUCCCUCAGAAUGGUCGGAAACCAUUCGAAGAGUGCAAAGGCAGAAGGGAGCUUGACUGCGACACCGACGGGUGGGCAGGUACGAAAGUAGGACUUAGUGAUCCGGUGGUAUUAAGUGGGAAUGCCAUCGCUCAACGGAUAAAAGCUACCCUGGGAUAACAGGCUUAUCACUCCCAAGAGUUCGCAUCGACGGAGUGGUUUGGCACCUCGAUGUCGGCUCAUCGCAUCCUGGGGCUGUAGUAGGUCCCAAGGGUUGGGCUGUUCGCCCAUUAAAGCGGUACGCGAGCUGGGUUCAGAACGUCGUGAGACAGUUCGGUCCCUAUCCGGCGUGGGCGUAGGAUAUUUGAGAGGAGCUGACCUUAGUACGAGAGGACCGGGUUGGACUGACCUCUGGUGCACCGGUUGUCAUGCCAAUGGCACAGCCGGGUAGCCAAGUCGGGAAGGGAUAAACGCUGAAGGCAUCUAAGCGUGAAGCCCCCCUCAAGAUGAGAUAUCCCCCGCAUAAGCGGUAAGACCCCUUGAAGACGACGAGGUAGAUAGGGCAGAGGUGGAAGUGCAGUAAUGUAUGGAGCUGACUGCUACUAAUAGGUCGAAGGCUUAACU